rnacentral:rRNA from 1 species
AGUGAACGCUGGCGGUAGGCCUAACACAUGCAAGUCGAACGGCAGCACAGUAAGAGCUUGCUCUUACGGGUGGCGAGUGGCGGACGGGUGAGGAAUACAUCGGAAUCUACUUUUUCGUGGGGGAUAACGUAGGGAAACUUACGCUAAUACCGCAUACGACCUACGGGUGAAAGCAGGGGAUCUUCGGACCUUGCGCGAUUGAAUGAGCCGAUGUCGGAUUAGCUAGUUGGCGGGGUAAAGGCCCACCAAGGCGACGAUCCGUAGCUGGUCUGAGAGGAUGAUCAGCCACACUGGAACUGAGACACGGUCCAGACUCCUACGGGAGGCAGCAGUGGGGAAUAUUGGACAAUGGGCGAAAGCCUGAUGCAGCCAUGCCGCGUGGGUGAAGAAGGCCUUCGGAUUGUAAAGCCCUUUUAUUGGGAAAGAAAAGCAGCAGGUUAAACCCCCGCUGUUCUGACGGUACCCAAAGAAUAAGCACCGGCUAACUUCGUG